rnacentral:tRNA from 1 species
UGGGGUGUAGCUCAGUUGUAGAGUGCUUGCUUUGAAAGUAUGAGGUCUGGGUUCAUCCCUGGCAUCUCCA